GAGAGGAGAAAACUCUCCAUAUGUAGAAAUAAUUACUUUUGUUGUUUAUUUCACCCAUAGCUAGGUACUUGUAACUCUCCUCAUUGCGCCAGGCACCAUAACAGCUGAACUAGGUAGGGGGCUGUUGAAGCAAUACCACGUUUAGCUUUUUUGCACUCCCCUUCCUCCUGCAUCUCAGCUAAACUGCCCACUGAGAAUUGGGGCUCCUGGGUUUGUCUGUCUGGGAAGCAGCACACUCCAGCCUAAUUCCUUGUACCCCUUUCAGUGUUUCCUUUCUUUGUGCCAAAUAGAGCUGAAUGCAGCACAAAGAUAAAGGGAGAGACAAUACCUUGUUCAAAGAGCUUCAAGCAGAAGCAGACAACUUGCAGCGAGGGACAUGGAGGAGAGGUAAAACACAGCAGGUAAUGAUACCUUUCUUCGUUGGGUGCUGGGAUUUUUGAAUACUGCUACCCCAGGAUUAAUUGCAGCCUUUGGACACGCUUCGCAUUAUCUCACUGUUACAAGAAAAUUAGGUUCUCCUGUUUGAGGUACACAUCAAUUAUGGACAAAGCCACGUUUCCCAAAUGCAUCCAGCAACAUAUCUCAGAUUUUGCCUGGAGGAUCACGUCAAGGAUAUAGCAGUGGAGGUGACUUAGAAUGACCAAAGCUCUUCCAUCUUUCACAUAGUAUUUUUCCAGCUUUGAAAGUAAGUCUUUGGACAAAGUACAUUUUCUGCCGUGGCUCGGUGUGUGGCUUCAACACGCAGCAGGGGAAAGUGGACGCCAAGCGAGGCACAGCAGGAAGCAUGUGCGCUAUGAGAUCACUCACAUCCUAAGGUACUGCCUGAUACAGAUCACGUCAGCAAGCACAUAUUUCUCCUUUUUGCUGGGAACUUUGUUGAAACUGACCUCUGAAAAACACUUGGGCUUUAACAGUACAUGAUUUUCUAACACAGUUACAUUUCAUUGAAAUUGUACCUACUGUUCUUCAGUGGCAGUUUGGCUGGAAGGGGUCCAUCCUCCAACAGUUUCUAAGCCUCCACUCGGGUGACAAUUACAAUCCAUUUCCAGCUUAAUAUUCUUUAAAUCUUGUCUUACCAUGAAACCUCUUUUCUUUGACCUUGAAGCCAACUAGGAUCAUAUGUCAUGACCGAACCAUGUGACAAACUUGAAUUGAUUGGCACAGAAUUUUCAAGGUAAUGGGAUAAACUCUGGUGUCAAGCGGGCUCUCUGGCAGCCUUCGCCCACGAGUCACUGUUAAGUCUGCUAAGUGGUGUGAAGAUAUAAUCGUGAUAAUAAUAGUACUGCUUAAUCUCUAUUGAACAGAGGUGUUCUGCUAUGCUUUUGAACCCUGCACACUUAUCUACCUCUUCCUGGCUCCUGAAAUAUUUUUGAAAAGGGUUGGAUGCUGCUGCAGUGUCCUUGAUGUGCACUUCUGGAGGCUGAGCCAGCGGGUGCUGCAGUGCUUGACAAUCUUUAAAUGCUUCAAUGCUCUUGAAUACCUGAUAUAUAUUGUAGCCGUCCUUCUUUUUGGAGCAGUUUUGAAAAUGGGAAGAUAUACCCAACAGCAGUUCUCAGACACUUAAUGGCCACCGCUUCACAUCACGUUGGCAGCACCUCUUUGCCAAAUGACAGGCACAGCCUGGGUCAGAUAAGCUGAGCUCUACUUAACAAAUCUGGAGAUGAACCGACUUGUUUUUUCCCCUUCUCAUAAAGCUGCCGUUGUCAUCGCUGUGGAAAGCAUCGAUGUUAUUUCAGGGCAGAGCUUUGUCUUGUCAAGGAUGGCAAAGGUGUUUUCACCUACUACAUGUCAAGAUGUCUGAGCUCCACUUGCUGCUUGGCCUACAUCUUUCUCAAAGAGUCUUCCUAGAAUAAAAUAUUCUCUCUCAUCUCUUUGAUCACUGCUUUCAUCUCUUAAACAAAAUGACCCAUGCUUUCUGAUGUUGAGCUGGACUAAUGAAGCAUUUUUAAUGAUUGUCAUUGUUUUCACACAUCUCAGGAUCUCUAACCGCACUGCCACAGAAUAUUUCUUCAGCACCUUGGAUUUUAUGGAUUUGUAUGUCAUUUAUAGAUACCUUUAUCUUUUGCUGUAGUAUCUAAGAUUAUCAGAUUCAUGGUGUAGGGUGGCUGUAGAUAAAAGGUUAUUUUAGAGCACUGUAGGGUGUUUUUAUUUCUUUCCCAACAGGUUUGUUGCCCAUAAAACUCUGUAUUCCAUCUUUAUCAAGAAAUAGAGUAAGCAUUAACUGAUCAUGGCAAAGAGGGAAUUAUGAGCCAAUACUAAUAAUAGGCAAAUGUAAACUGGACUGUGCUUUCUAGAUAUACCAAGAUACCAAAUAGUGAUUAUCACUAUUUUCUGUCUCCUUGUUACUUGCUUUUAAAGUGGAAACUGUAACUGUGUAUUAUUAUUUUGAAUGUUCUUGCAUGUGAAGGCGCUGGAACCAGCGACCCAUUCUGCUAGGCGCUGUAUGCACAUGGAGUUUGGUUUGCAAUGUGUUUAUUUAGUCUUCUGUGAUGGAAAGUAAUACACCAGUGCAAGCUUGAAUAUACAAUACAAAUAACACACAUGUAAAAUACAAAAAAGCAAAAGUUACAUUACGCAUAUCAUACAUAAUCAAACCAUAUCCUAUGAUAUACAGUCUAUUUCAUGACUGAGAUGGUGAUUCAUAAGUACUGCCAUGGUGAUUCUAUGUUGAUGUAUGUAGAUUAAGUGCUUAUCUGUCUCCACUGACAAUAUACAGAAGCAUUGGAAAAUCACAGUGUUAGUUCACUGUCUUUGACACAUUAAUUUCAACAGUUGUCACUACUAACCCCAUUAAUUCCAGCAGAGGACAUAAAGCAUCCCUGUUAAACAAAUUCAGUUUACUUCAUUGGAAUGGUCUAAGAAUAUGGACAUGGUCAAUUAUUUCAACUCAGUUAAUAAGCAAUAGCUCUUUAAGUCAGCAGUCUAUAUUUUAUAAGGAUUUGCUUCCGCUAUAUUUUCAUACCUUCACUUUCCACAGUUGCACUUUCAUUUUCUGGCAGAAUCAUUCAAUAUGAAUUCUUUUUACUAAGCAAUUUGAAAUAUCCAAAAUUCAUUAAAGAAUAUGUUCAAAGGAUAGUGCUACAAAUGAAAAACUAGUUGAAUUUGCAGGAAGAAAUAUUUGCCAUUUGAAAAUAUAGUGUCACUGAAUCCAAGGAAUUUAU